UAGUAACUGUUGCUCUCUUUGUCGACUCCAUGAUAAUUACAUUCUCCUCAUAUCUUAUCGUCGUUCACUUUUUUAUCUAAUGUUUUCAUUUUAUUAUCUUUCAUUUCAAUGACAUUUCCCAAUAGAGAAAUCUUAUGUUUUAACAACCUAAUAGGUAAAUUGUAAUUCAUCAAUUGAUUUUUCUCUUCUAAUUCUUUCAUUAUUCUGCUCAUAAAUUAGAAGGGUAUUAUUUCACUGGCAAUUUUAAUUCUAUUUUCAGGAUUAUCUGUCCUAUCGCCAACCAUCGAUCCUGUAUCAUCUGAAUCUUCACUUCUCUUGUCAGUAGAGCAAAUAAUGGAUGAUUUACUCACUAUUUUUUUCACGACCAGAUCAACUCUUCAGCUACCUUCUCGUUCGCCGCCAUAUUAGAUAUAUAUUUUUUGUAAUCAUAUGGCAUAUGGCAGUGUUAUGAACUCAUUAUCUGUUAGCUAUUUGAUUAUUAUUAUUAAAAUUACUUUAUUCAUCUUCAGAUGGUCGACUGCUAGCCAUAUCCUCUAGACACCUCCUAACACCACACUAUCAACGUGGUAUCAACAAGUAACUUAUUAGGGAAAGAUGUAACCAAUUCAAGGAGGUCUGUAUUGGAGCUAGACAAUCCCAAUGGACCAGCAUCAGGUCCGAUAAGAUGGCAUGGCGACUAAACCUCCACUACCAAUUUCUGAAUUCCUUCAUCACAAGGUCAUUUCCCUAAGUCCAGCAUAUCGAAAAGAUGACCGUCGAUGACAAGCCAGGUACUUUACCGAUGAAGAGUUUCAAUGGAAAACAAUGCUGAGGAGAGUAACACAGAUUAGCCUCCGUGCAAAAAGCAUGCCCUAAUGCCAUUAGAUCCGAGGGGCGACGGAAAUAUUAACUGCAAGGCUUCGAUUUUACAGCGAAGAUCAGCAAUAACAGGUAUCGUUCUGAGGCUUGCUCGAAUUUCGACAAGAACACAACGUUGGCGAACACUGAAAGAGUGCCAGAGGUACAGCGUCACCAGCAACAGGCACAAGUGAAUAUUCUAUCUCGAUGGUCAUACUACAUUUAGUACAUUAUUGAGUUUUCGUAAGGUGAUAUAAAUUUGUGUAAAGUUUCGUCGUUUCAUAGUAUAGUAUCUAAACAAUGAAUUAAAAGAAUGGCAUCUACAAGCACACAUAACAGUGUAAAUGAUCCUGAUUCUUGUUAUGACGGCAGUUUAAAAAAAAAAAGAAAAACUAUUUCUGACUCUCUUGCCUAUUUUGGUAUUCAUUUAGGAGAUCACGAUCACUACGGCAAAGUAACCAUACUCCAAUAUGAAGAUGGGAAGUGUAUUUGACAGAGAUCACUGUGUGUCAAACUGAUGAUCUCAGGAUGAAACACCGCAUUCCUCAGAUAAAGGGCGCACCUUCGAAAUUGGCUCAAGAACUUCAACAAAGUACAAUAUUUUUAUUUCCACCCCACUCUUUUUUAUUUAAUUAAUAUCUGGAAGCAUUUAUUUUUGAAACCUAAUAAGUAUAAGAUUAAUCCAAGACCCUCUCAGGCUGUACGAAUUAUGAUGAAGAUAUGCUUUAAUCUGGAGGAUGUUAUUGGUGAAAAAAACCAACUUAGAACUAGGGAACUUGCAAGAUGAGUAAUACAAGAAUGUUUUCCUACUAGCGUU